rnacentral:rRNA from 1 species
UGGGGAAUAUUGCACAAUGGGCGCAAGCCUGAUGCAGCCAUGCCGCGUGUAUGAAGAAGGCCUUUGGGUUGUAAAGUACUUUCAGCGGGGAGGAAGGUGUUGAGGUUAAUAACCUCAGCAAUUGACGUUACCCGCAGAAGAAGCACCGGCUAACUCCGUGCCAGCAGCCGCGGUAAUACGGAGGGUGCAAGCGUUAAUCGGAAUUACUGGGCGUAAAGCGCACGCAGGCGGUCUGUCAAGUCGGAUGUGAAAUCCCCGGGCUCAACCUGGGAACUGCAUUCGAAACUGGCAGGCUAGAGUCUUGUAGAGGGGGGUAGAAUUCCAGGUGUAGCGGUGAAAUGCGUAGAGAUCUGGAGGAAUACCGGUGGCGAAGGCGGCCCCCUGGACAAAGACUGACGCUCAGGUGCGAAAGCGUGGGGAGCAAACA